rnacentral:rRNA from 1 species
AGUCACUGACAUUAGAUACCCGGUAGUCCCAGCCGUAAACUAUGCGCGUUAGGUGUAUCGGUGACCACGAGUUACCGAGGUGCCGAAGGGAAACCGUGAAACGUGCCACCUGGGAAGUACGGUCGUAAGGCUGAAACUUAAAGGAAUUGGCGGGGGAGCACCGCAACGGGAGGAGCGUGCGGUUUAAUUGGAUUCAACACCGGAAAACUCACCAAGGGCGACUGUUACAUGAAAGCCAGGCUAAUGACCUUGCUUGAUUUUCAG